rnacentral:rRNA from 1 species
AUGUGACCUCAAAUCAGGUAGGAUUACCCGCUGAAC